CUCCUGACCUCAAGUGAUCCUGCCUCUUCGGCCUCCCAGAGUGCUAGGAUUACAAGUGUGAGCCACCGCACCCGACCUCUUAUCAAGCUUUUGAACAGACCCAGUAAAGAAGGGAGGGAUCCCCCCGAAGUAGACCCCUGUGACAAAGAUUUGAAUGCAAAUAACGGCAUGCCUUGAAGAUACUGCGGGCUCAGUGUCAGAAUACCACAAUAAAGUCUGCCGAGAUGAACUUAUUUCAAUGAAGCCAUUACUGAGAAGUAUUGGGAGAGCUCCAGAAAAAUCAGAAGUAG